GGGCUCUUAGCUCAGUUGGUAGAGCGAUAGGUUCGCAAUCUAUAGGUCAGGAGUUCGAAUCUCCUAGGGUCCA
rnacentral:tRNA from 1 species